CUCGUCUUCAAGCUCGACUUCGCCAAAGCGUUCGACUCGGUCGACUGGGGGGCGCUCCGGCAAAUUCUCAUGGUGCGCGGCUUCCCCGACCGAUGGUGUACCUGGAUGGACUUGAUCUUUCGGUCCUCCCGGUCGGCGGUCCUUCUCAACGGCGUGCCUGGGAAGUGGUUCAUGGUGCGCCGUAGGCUGCGUCAGGGGGACCCGAGCUCGCCCUACCUCUUCCUCAUCGUCGCCGACGUCCUCCAAUAG
rnacentral:rRNA from 1 species